ensembl:lncRNA MIR1-1HG MIR1-1 host gene
GCUCCUGACCCGAGGGGGGCCCCCACGCCCGCUCUGGCCUCUCAGGUCAGGCCCUCCCCUCCCCUCCCCUCCCCUCCCCCGCCCCUGUGUCUCCGCGAGCCGGCUGUGUGCCUGCGAGAGCGUGCACACCCGCGGGACCUUCCCUUUUGUUCCACCCUGACCUCUACCUUCUCUACCUUGUGCUGACCCCGCUGGGGUGCAGGGGUUCCCUUCGGAGGAGGCCGGGGCUCAAGUGCGGACGCAUCGAGCUUCGGCCCCCACCCCUGCAUUCGCGAUUGGCUCCCGGAGGAGGUGGCUGGUGCUGCCGCCGCUGCAGCAUCUCCUAGGGAGCCGCGACCCUGCGCCCGCCGCCGCUGCCGCUGUCACCAGCCCGGCCCCAGGGGUGCCCUGGGCUCCGCGGCUGAGGCACCUAGGGAGUUGCCCCCCUAGUGGACGGCCUCUCAGGAGAUCCUGACCACCCUCUGGGAACCUGGACUCCUCCAAGCAUCGUCUUUCUCGCCUGCAUCUUCGGAGAGAGGUGCUGAGCCCUUCCUCAUGGAUACGGGGUCCCGGGAGGCAGCCUUCACCAGGGACCUGCCCAGGAAACCAGCAGAUGCCCAGCUGUAGCUGUGCAUUGAUGGCGCCGUGCGGCCCGGCCGCAGGUCCCGCAGCCGUGGAGAGGACCCAGCAGGUGGCGCGGGGAGAGCCCGGCUCGGCACGUGGUCAGCUCCAAGUCAGCCCUGAAAUGUCCAUUACUCACAAAGAAAAGGAAAAUGCUCAUUUGAAAGAAAUUCUUCUCUUUGUCAAUGCUGAGGCAUUCUCUCAGCCCCAGCCCCACAGUGCUCCAGUGUGUGAAGGGCAACAGCUGACGGGGAAGUUCAGCACAUCUGUGCUGACCAGGGCUGGAGGCGAUGCCAGUCCGUGCAGCUGGGAACGCCUCCUCUGCUAUGGCUGGAGCCACUGCUGAAGGGACUCCACCUGGCACCUAUGCCACCAAUGGCCCCUGAACGGGUAUCUAGGCCCACCCUUAAUAAAGAUGAGCUGCUCAUUCCCAGUU